UACGUAGGGUGCGAGCGUUAAUCGGAAUUACUGGGCGUAAAGCGUGCGCAGGCGGUUCGGAAAGAAAGAUGUGAAAUCCCAGAGCUUAACUUUGGAACUGCAUUUUUAACUCCCGGGCUAGAGUGUGUCAGAGGGGGGUAGAAUUCCACGUGUAGCAGUGAAAUGCGUAGAGAUGUGGAGGAAUACCGAUGGCGAAGGCAGCCCCCUGGGACAACACUGACGCUCAGGCGCGAAAGCGUGGGGAGCAAACAGG
rnacentral:rRNA from 1 species